AUUGAACGCUGGCGGCAGGCUUAACUCAUGCAAGUCGAGCGGAGUGAUGGUGCUUGCACUAUCACUUAGCGGCGGACGGGUGAGUAAUGCUUAGGAAUCUGCCUAUUAGUGGGGGACAACAUCUCGAAAGGGAUGCUAAUACCGCAUACGUCCUACGGGAGAAAGCAGGGGAUCUUCGGACCUUGCGCUAAUAGAUGAGCCUAAGUCGGAUUAGCUAGUUGGUGGGGUAAAGGCCUACCAAGGCGACGAUCUGUAGCGGGUCUGAGAGGAUGAUCCGCCACACUGGGACUGAGACACGGCCCAGACUCCUAUGGGAGGCAGCAGUGGGGAAUAUUGGACAAUGGGGGGAACCCUGAUCCAGCCAUGCCGCGUGUGUGAAGAAGGCCUUAUGGUUGUAAAGCACUUUAAGCGAGGAGGAGGCUACUUUAGUUAAUACCUAGAGAUAGUGGACGUUACUCGCAGAAUAAGCACCGGCUAACUCUGUGCCAGCCGCCGCCGUAA
rnacentral:rRNA from 1 species